rnacentral:tRNA from 1 species
GCGGGUAUGGUGGAAUUGGUAGAUACGCCGGUCUUAGAAGCCGGUGCACUAUGCAUGGGGGUUCGAGUCCCUCUACCCGCACCA